rnacentral:rRNA from 1 species
GCACUACGGUGCUGAAGCAACAAAUGCCCUGCUUCCAGGAAAAGCCUCUAAGCAUCAGGUAACAUCAAAUCGUACCCCAAACCGACACAGGUGGUCAGGUAGAGAAUACCAAGGCGCUUGAGAGAACUCGGGUGAAGGAACUAGGCAAAAUGGUGCCGUAACUUCGGGAGAAGGCACGCUGACACGUAGGUGAAGUGAUUUACUCAUGGAGCUGAAGUCAGUCGAAGAUACCAGCUGGCUGCAACUGUUUAUUAAAAACACAGCACUGUGCAAACACGAAAGUGGACGUAUACGGUGUGACGCCUGCCCGGUGCCGGAAGGUUAAUUGAUGGGGUCAGCGCAAGCGAAGCUCCUGAUCGAAGCCCCGGUAAACGGCGGCCGUAACUAUAACGGUCCUAAGGUAGCGAAAUUCCUUGUCGGGUAAGUUCCGACCUGCACGAAUGGCGUAAUGAUGGCCAGGCUGUCUCCACCCGAGACUCAGUGAAAUUGAACUCGCUGUGAAGAUGCAGUGUACCCGCGGCAAGACGGAAAGACCCCGUGAACCUUUACUAUAGCUUGACACUGAACAUUGAGCCUUGAUGUGUAGGAUAGGUGGGAGGCUUUGAAGCGUGGACGCCAGUCUGCGUGGAGCCGACCUUGAAAUACCACCCUUUAAUGUUUGAUGUUCUAACGUGGACCCGUGAUCCGGGUUGCGGACAGUGUCUGGUGGGUAGUUUGACUGGGGCGGUCUCCUCCUAAAGAGUAACGGAGGAGCACGAAGGUUGGCUAAUCCUGGUCGGACAUCAGGAGGUUAGUGCAAUGGCAUAAGCCAGCUUGACUGCGAGCGUGACGGCGCGAGCAGGUGCGAAAGCAGGUCAUAGUGAUCCGGUGGUUCUGAAUGGAAGGGCCAUCGCUCAACGGAUAAAAGGUACUCCGGGGAUAACAGGCUGAUACCGCCCAAGAGUUCAUAUCGACGGCGGUGUUUGGCACCUCGAUGUCGGCUCAUCACAUCCUGGGGCUGAAGUAGGUCCCAAGGGUAUGGCUGUUCGCCAUUUAAAGUGGUACGCGAGCUGGGUUUAGAACGUCGUGAGACAGUUCGGUCCCUAUCUGCCGUGGGCGCUGGAGAACUGAGGGGGGCUGCUCCUAGUACGAGAGGACCGGAGUGGACGCAUCACUGGUGUUCGGGUUGUCAUGCCAAUGGCACUGCCCGGUAGCUAAAUGCGGAAGAGAUAAGUGCUGAAAGCAUCUAAGCACGAAACUUGCCCCGAGAUGAGUUCUCCCUGAGACUUAGAGUCUCCUGAAGGAACGUUGAAGACGACGACGUUGAUAGGCCGGGUGUGUAAGCGCAGCGAUGCGUUGAGCUAACCGGUACUAAUGAACCGUGAGGCUUAACCUUACAACGCCGAAG